rnacentral:rRNA from 1 species
GUGCCAGCCGCCGCGGUAAUACCGGCGGCUCGAGUGGUGGCCACUAUUACUGGGCUUAAAGCGUCCGUAGCUUGGUCGUUAAGCCUCUGGGGAAAUCUUCCGGCUCAACCGGAAGGCGUCUCAGGGGAACUGGCGACCUAGGGAUCGGGAGAGGUGAGAGGUACUCUGGGGGUAGGAGUGAAAUCCUGUAAUCCUCAGGGGACCACCUGUGGCGAAGGCGUCUCACCAGAACGACUCCGACAGUGAGGGACGAAAGCUGGGGGAGCAAACCGGAUUAGSUACCCGGGUAGUCC